rnacentral:rRNA from 1 species
GACGAACGCUGGCGGCGUGCUUAACACAUGCAAGUCGAGCGGUAAGGCCUCUUCGGGGGUACACGAGCGGCGAACGGGUGAGUAACACGUGGGCGACCUGCCCUCAGCUCUGGGAUAAGCCUGGGAAACUGGGUCUAAUACCGGAUAUGACCACAUGUUGCAUGGUGUGUGGUGGAAAGUUUUUUCGGCUGGGGAUGGGCCCGCGGCCUAUCAGCUUGUUGGUGGGGUGAUGGCCUACCAAGGCGACGACGGGUAGCCGGCCUGAGAGGGCGACCGGCCACACUGGGACUGAGACACGGCCCAGACUCCUACGGGAGGCAGCAGUGGGGAAUAUUGCGCAAUGGGCGGAAGCCUGACGCAGCGACGCCGCGUGGGGGAUGACGGCCUUCGGGUUGUAAACCUCUUUCGACCGGGACGAAGCGUAAGUGACGGUACCGGUAGAAGAAGCACCGGCCAACUACGUG